UGGGGGAUAUUGCACAAUGGGGGAAACCCUGAUGCAGCGACGCCGCGUGAGGGAAGACGGUUUUCGGAUUGUAAACCUCUGGCUUUGGGGACGAAUAAUGACGGUACCCAAGGAGGAAGCCACGGCUAACUACGUGCCAGCAGCCGCGGUAAUACGUAGGUGGCAAGCGUUGUCCGGAAUUACUGGGUGUAAAGGGAGCGUAGGCGGUGAAUCAAGUUGAAUGUUAAAUACAGAGGCUCAACCUCUGUUCGCGUUCAAAACUGGUUUACUUGAGUGAAGUAGAGGCAGGCGGAAUUCCUAGUGUAGCGGUGAAAUGCGUAGAUAUUAGGAGGAACACCAGUGGCGAAGGCGGCCUGCUGGGCUUUUACUGACGCUGAGGCUCGAAAGUGUGGGGAGCAAACA
rnacentral:rRNA from 1 species